UACGGAGGGUGCAAGCGUUAUCCGGAUUCACUGGGUUUAAAGGGUGCGUAGGCGGGCAGGUAAGUCAGUGGUGAAAUCUUCGAGCUUAACUCGGAAACUGCCUUUGAUACUAUCUGUCUUGAAUAUGGUGGAGGUAAGCGGAAUAUGUCAUGUAGCGGUGAAAUGCUUAGAGUGACAUAGAACACCUAUUGCGAAGGCAGCUUACUACGCCUAUAUUGACGCUGAGGCACGAAAGCGUGGGGAUCAAACAGG
rnacentral:rRNA from 1 species